rnacentral:lncRNA from 1 species
AUGGAGCACCCUGCUGGCAACCUGCUCGCUCUUUCUCCUUCUCUAUCACUCUCCCUCCCUCUUCUCCACAACUCUAUCACUCUCUCUACAACUCUAUCACUCUCUCUCUCUCUCUCUCUCUCUCUCUCUCUCUCUCUCUCUCUCUCUCUCUCUCUCUCUCUCUCUCUCUCUCUCUCCUCUCUCUCCCUCUCCUCUCCUCUCUCUCUCUCUCUCUCUCUCUCUCUCUCUCUCUCUCCUCUCUCUCUCUCUGUCUCUCUCUCUCUCUCUCUCUCUCUCUCUCUCUCUCUCUCUCUCUCUCUCUCUCUCUCCCUCUCUCUCUCUCUCUCUCUCUCUCUCUCUCUCUCUCUCUCUCUCUCUCCCUCUCUCUCUCUCUCUCUCUCUCUCUCUCUCUCUCUCUCUCUCUCUCUCUCUCUCUCUCUCUCUCCCCUCUCUCUCUCUCUCUCUCUCUCUCUCUCUCUCUCUCUCUCUCUCUCUCUCUCUCUCUCUCUCUCUCUCUCCCUCUCUCUCUCUUCUCUCUCUCUCUCUCUCUCUCUCUCUCUCUCUCUCUCUCUCUCUCUCUCUCUCUCUCUCUCUCUCUCUCUCCCCCCCUCUCUCUCUCUCUCUCUCUCUCUCUCUCUCUCUCUCUCUCUCCCUCUCCCUCUCCCUCUCUCUCUCUCUCUCUCUCUCUCUCUCUCUCUCUCUCUCUCUCUCUCUCUCUCUCUCCUCUCCCCCUCUCUCCUCUCUCUCUCCCUUCUCUCUCUCUCUCUCUCUCUCUCUCUCUCUCUCUCUCUCUCUCUCUCUCUCUCUCUCUCUCUCUCUCUCUCUCUCUCUCUCUCUCUCUCUCUCUCUCUCUCUAAUGCUCUACUCUCUCUAUUUUACUCUCUCACCCACAUCCCUAUACCUCUCUUUAUACUUCUCCAUCCUGCUCUUUGCACCUCUUUACUCUCUCUCACUAUAUCUUUCUAUCUCUUGUGUUUCAUCUCUUUUCACUCAUUUUCUUUUCCUGCAAGAGGUAGGUUGGAGAGGGGAGAGAAAGGUUGGGGGAGAGAGGUAAAGGAGAGACUAAGAGAAAGACAGCAUUACAAUCUGCUGCGCUCAAAGAUGUGCCAAUUUCCCCCCCUGUCUAUCUCUCUCUCACUCUAUCGCUCUGCUGUCUAUCACAUGCUUUCUCCUCAUCAGAUCGUCCUCUUCCCUCUCUCCCACCGUCUCUCUCUCUGGCCAUCUCUGUCUCUACAUCCCUCUCUCUCCCUCUGUGCUUCUCUUCUAACAGUUUUUCUCUCUUCUACCUCUCCCAUCUUUACCAUGCCUUUAUCUCCUCUCUCCUUUAACUGUUGA